UUUAAUUUUUCAUUUUUUUGUAACUUUUCUAUUAUUGAUGACGUCCGAUCAGCAUCAUCAUCAGCCCUAUCUAUCGAUCGAUCUUGCCUCCUACUUCACUGAACAGUAGGAAGCGAAGCAGGGCUCUCCUCCUUCUCCUUUUUGACGCCAGAGGCUGUCUCAGCUGCAUUCACGAAGGACGGAGCGAAAAGGAAGCGUCGGGAAUUGCCAGGACUUGAGAGAAGAAUGCACUGCCGAGUCUGGACAGUCAGUCCUCCACUCACUUCAUCAAAGAAGAAGAUCAUUCUCUCUCUUUUUCUCUCUCCACAUUUGUAUCCGACGAAUCGGAAUAUCAAAAAGGUUCGAGAGGAUGCUUUUGAGAGAAUGGUGCAAUUAUUUGGGUUGUGGAAAUGGAAAAAUGUGAUAAGAUGGCUUGGCUAGCAAAGGGUUGGAAUAAAUAUGCAGAGCAUUACUCUAUUUGUGAGGGCCAAUUUUUGGUCCUCUAAUCUGAAGGGGACUCCAUUUUCCAUGUCAUCAUAAUCGAUGAAAGGAUGUUUGAGAUAGAAUAUCUACCAAUCAAUGAAGAUGUGAGGAACUGAGCCUCAGCAAUUGUGGAUUUGUCUUGCUGAAAGCGGAAGAUGCCUUCGAUUUGUGAUGUUUCAGCCAAGCUUGAAGUCCGGGGGGAUGGAUUGCAUUCAACCAAGUGUCCGCAUUCUUGUAUAGAAAUGGAAUCUGAUCAGGUUUGCAAAGUUCAUGGCAAUUCCUGUGCACAUUCAUCAGCAGAGUUUGGGGAGGAACAGAAGUUCAAACUGCUCAUCACAAGAUUUUCCAGGUAAGCUGAGGGGCUUGUGCAAAGCUCUUGAACUGGCCAGCAAAUUAAUACUCGAUUAUUCUUUCUCCGAAAUUGCGGUGAGGUUAAUACAUCUGAAGAAAAACAAUGUGGUAAGAUCCUCGUGAUACUGACAACUCUGGGAUUUAAAUCACCUAAGGCAUCCUCAUACUGUCUUCCUCAGAUAUCAUUGGUUGUUCUCUUCUUUGUGAUGACAAAAUUGCAAAAUGUCUACUUGAGCAGAGAGUUCCUGCUUCAUUCACAAAGACACAUGUUAAGAAAAGCCCGUAGACCAUGGCUCUCAUAUUUCAAGACAAAUCAUGGCCGUUGAAGCUCAUCAGCCACGAACAUUAUGGAAAGUCAUCUGCCCUUUGGGCCGCAUCACGAGAGAAACUUUUCUAAAGGUGGAAGACUUGUGUGUUCGAGCUUUAUUGAAAGGGACGAUAUCAUGUUCAGAGUAUCCAUCUUCAGAACCACUGAUAAGAUUUGGGUGUAUAAUAAUAUGUGCAAUGCGAUACAGCAGAGGAAGCAUCGCGUUAGCUCGCUUUUGGUGAGAACAGAAUUUACAGAAUUGCUAAGCUGAAUUCUGCUUUCGGUUCAGCAAAGUGGAUAAAAGCAUUAGUUUCGUUCCAAUGGAUGGAAUGGUCCUGAAUGUGUACGAUACCUUUCCUUGAUCCUAGACGUGGCAAUCACAAUGUGGGCAAGAGUCGUGAGUUGUGAGUCGGAGGAA